rnacentral:rRNA from 1 species
UACAGAGGGUGCGAGCGUUGUCCGGAAUCACUGGGCGUAAAGGGCGCGUAGGCGGCCUGAUAAGUAGGGGGUGAAAUCCCCAAGCUUAACUUGGGAACUGCAUCCGAUACUGGAUGGCUUGAAUCCGGGAGAGGGAUGCAGAAUUCCAGGUGUAGCGGUGAAAUGCGUAGAUAUCUGGAGGAAUACCGGUGGCGAAGGCGGCAUCCUGGACCGGCAUUGACGCUGAGGAGCGAAAGCUAGGGGAGCAAACGGG